AAUGCUAAAAACCCUAACUUCUCUUUCUAAACACAGUUUUCAGAUGGUUCCAAUCUCACUCUUCUCUUCUAAGAUAUUGCAUCAAUUCCAGGAUGGGGAAUUUUAAGUAAAGCAUGUGGCUAGACAAGUAAUGGAGUUGCUGCCGGUACUACAAUAUCAACAGAAAGAACUCGACUACUCAUUCAAUUUUGGGUGAUUCAUAUUUGAUCCAAGAGAUUGCGACUCGCUUAAAGGAAACUGAUUGAGGAGUAAAUGAAGAGGACCAACGGCGUAAACAGGCGGCAGUGGCAACUGAGACUUGAGUGCAUCCAAAACCUCCAUCUCCAGGGCGUUGAAGGUAUUGAAAAUCAAGGCUGUAGCACCGGUGUUUCUUUCAGCUUCUCGCCUAAAAAAAUCGAACAGGGCAUCAUCAGGAUCGGUUGUCCGAACAUAGCUGAGUAAAUCUUUGAAUCUGAUAUCUUCCAUACCAGGGUUAGGAGAUCUUGGCUGGCAUUUGGAUGGGUUGGUGGUGGAAGGCCGUCAGGAAUGGUUUCGAAACGAAAAUCAGGUUUAUAUCAAAUUUCUGCCAUGCUUCAAAGUUUUCUUACAUAGAUGCUUCCAUCAAUUCCAGGAAGGAGAAUUUUAAGUGAAGUAUGUGGGUGGGAGAACUCCACUACUUAUCAAAUUUUGGCUUAUUCAUUGAUUACAUGAGUACCUGCAGUUUGUUUGUUGGUCUCCAUAAAACGGCCAACAGAGCAAAGGAACCCCACAGCUCAAGCUUUCGAGAGUAGAAUUCCAACCACAGUGCGUUAAGAAUACAGCUAUCGACGGGUGAUUCAGGACAUCCUCUUGCGGGCACCAACUUGCUAGUAGUCCCCUUUCUUUAGUUUCGUUUGUAAACUCAGCUGGCAACGUAGCCGACUCACCAAUUACCAGAUUUGAUCCAAGAGAUUGCGACUCACUUAAAGGAAUCCGAUUGAGGAGUAAAUGAAGAGGACCAAUGGUGUAAAUUGGGGGCAGUGGCAGCUGAGACUUGAGUGCAUCUAGAACCUCCAUCUCCAAGGUAUCAAAGAGUGGUAUGACAUCUUGGGUAGCAUUUGAAUCGGUUGGUGGUGGAAGACCGUCAGGAAUUGUUUCGAAACGAAAAUCAGAUGGUUCUAGUCUCAAUCUCCACCUUAUCGAUUUCAUCUCUUCUAAUAUAUCCCAUCAACUGGAGUGGGAAUCUUAAAUAAUGCAUGUGGCUAGACAAGUAAUGGAGUUGCUGCUGGUACUGCAAUAUCAACAAAAAGAAGCUUUGGCUUAUUCAUGUUUGAUCCAAGAGAUAGUGACUCACUUAAAGGAAUCCGAUUAAGAAGCACAUGAAGUGGACCAAUGGCGUAAACAGGAGGUAGUGGCAACUGAGACUUGACUGCAUCCAAAGCCUCCAUCUCCAGGGCAUCAAAGGGUUGGGAUAUCUUGGCUGGCAUUUGGAUUGCUUGGUGGUGGAAGACCGUCAGGUUAUUUGAAAGCCUCUGAAAUGAAGAAUCUUUGCUAGCUUCAUCAUGGAGCUUAUGUGGCUCUGAACUGGGUAUGGUAUGCAAACCACAUGAAUCUUCUCCAUGCUGUUUAAUCUUUGUCUCUCAGUCUCUCAGUCU